UUCUUACGGGAGGCAGCAGUAGGGACUCUUCCACCCUGUGCUCAAGCCUGCUGGAGCAACGCCGCGUGGGUGAAGAAGGUCUUCGGAUCGUAAAACCCUGUUGUUAGAGAAGAAAGUGCGUGAGAGUAACUGUUCACGUUUCGACGGUAUCUAACCAGAAAGCCACGGCUAACUACGUGCCAGCAGCCGCGGUAAUACGUAGGUGGCAAGCGUUAUCCGAAUUUAUUGGGCGUAAAGAGAACGCAGGCGGUCUUUUAAGUCUGAUGUGAAAGCCUUCGGCUUAACCGGAGUAGUGCAUUGGAAAA
rnacentral:rRNA from 1 species